CUUUCACAACGCUAGGAAUCGCUUUUGCAGCCGCGUCCCUUUUUUGAAAGUGGAGUAAAUGAUUUGCCGUUUGAGGUUGCUGUUCCACCUAUAAAUAGUGGCCUCGUUUAAUGUCCGGGGGCCACAGGAGGCUCUCGCAGGGCUGUGCUGUGUCAGUCUGCGAGGAUUAUCACCAACACCGACUCUGAAACCCUUCCCCCACUCUGAAUGCGCUGUCAUAUAAGUGAGUAGAAGAGAACAUUGUGACAGCCUCAUGAGCUUUGUCCAGGUUCCAGGAUUGUCGCAUCAGCAGG